AAUGCAGUAAAGGAAAAAAGAAGACUUUAUGCCUGCUUGUAGAGGCAAUUAUACUGCUCGGGAAAGAGUCAGUACAUUCCAUUUCCCUCGUGAUGAAGAUGCAUGGAGAGAAUGGAUAAGAGCAGUUCACCGUGAUAAUUUCAUCCCUUCAGAUCACUCUGUGAUUUGUGAGCUGCAUUUCCAUGCACACGAAAUAGAAAGAAGUACAUCGUCAUAUGAUGCUAAGACUGGAAGAUUAAUUACACGCCUCUUGAUCGUCCACGUUUAAGGAAAGGAAAUUCUCCUGCAGUGGAAAACACGUGUGUUGGAGCUGCACAGAAAUGAUUGUAAUGUGCAAGAAAUUAAAUCUUUAAACAUCCAUGUUGAUGUUAAAUCAAGGGAGGAGUUUGGACAGUGGUUGGCACAGUUUGAAGACAUAACAAAAACAACUUAUACAAUAAGGUGCACUGAACCUGCAUCAGGAAAGUAUGUUGUUUGCAAACAAAGGUGUUAGAACUUCCAGUUUAAUAAGUAUAUUCAGAAACGACACAACAACACAUAUAUGUCACAGAGUAAGUUGACAUGUGAACACGUUAGCGUUCAGAUAAGCACUGAGUCUCAGUCUAGCGGCCGCUGCUCGGCUGGCCGCUUAGGUGGCGCCGCUGCUGCAUGGCUGGCAGGCAGACAGCGCCGCACGUAGAGGACGUGCGUAAUUGCGCGGCGGCACUUUAAAUGAUCGGCGAGUCACAACAAAAGGCUGGUCUGUCACCACAAUACUUGCAGUAUAAAAGUUCACGGUUCAGUGCAAAGGGCAACAAAAAACACUAACUGUCCAUCAAAAAUGACAGUGACAAUUCAUGCCGUGCAUGAUAGAUACAGAGGUAAGUCUGUAGAGAAAGCAAUGCUCUACAAGGAAAUGCCGUGUGAGGUUAACUUGGUGUUGGGUCAUAACCACAGUGUUGAGAGUGCUGCUGCUUUAAGAUUUAGACAACCACCAAGUGAUGUCAAAGAAAAAUUAAUAUCCCUGUUUGAAAGAGGUCAUUCACCAGCCACUGCUCUUGAGUCAAUAAAGGUUGAAAUUCAGCUGCAUUGUUCAGAUUACC